AGAGGGCAGUCAGCUCUCCAUUUCUGAGGGUUCAUGCAGAUAUGGAGGGCCCACUAAAGGCCAUGAACAUCAGCAGAUUUUGGUAUGAUGCAGUGAGAGUGUCCUGGAACUAUCUCCCACAGAUACUGCGGGAAGACUAUAACUGUUUCUAUAAUAUCGUUUUGUCUUCAAAGACUCCUAGCAUAAUAUCUAUGGUGAAGACUAGAAAGCUGCUUUAUAUUCCUUGUCAAUAGCUUCUCUGGUGAAAUGAAACUGAGAAAGGGAAAAGACCACAUGGUUAAAAGGCAGGGGAGUGGUGGGCAGGUUGUAUGUAGUGCAAAACAAAUAAUAAUGAAAGAAAAAAAUUUCAUCCAGCUACCUACUUAUACUAAAUGCUAGACAACAUAUGGUGUUAAAUCAUUUUAGUUCUAGAAAAAAAAAUCCACAUGCAAUAAUUUUAAAAUGUUAAACAAAGAAUAUAGGAGGCCAUUAGGAAGCAAUGUCAAUCAGGAGAGAGGAUUUGUGCAUGAAAAAGGUCAGUCUUGAAAACUAGCUUGCAAACAUUGCCUUUUGGACUCUUGUGCUGAGAUAUGCGGUAUAUCUGCAUGUAAGCGGUGCAACAGAAGCUCCAGCUGGCCAACCCCAGGGUCCUCAUGCUGUGUGCAGCCUAGGGACUUAGUGCCCUGUGACCCAGCCACUCCAGCCAUUGCUAAAAGGGGCCAAGGUACAGCUCGGCCCACGGUUUCAGAGGGUGCAAGCCCCAACCCUUGGCAGCUUCCACGUAUUGUUGAGCCUGCGGGUACACAGAAAUCAAGAAUUGAGGUUUGGGAACCUUCAUCUAGAUUUCAGAAGAUGUUUGGAAAUGCCUGGAUGCCCAGGCAAAAGUUUGCUGCAGGAUCGGGGCCCUCAUGGAGAACCUCUGCUAGGGCAGUACAGAAGGGAACUCUGGGUUUGGAGCCCCCAUACAGAGUCCCUACUAGGGCACCACCUAGGGGAGCGCUGACAAGAAGGCCACUGUCCUCCAGACCCCAGAAUGGUGGAUCCACUGACAGCUUGCACCAUGCGCCUGGAAAAGCCACAGAGACUCAAUGCCAGCCUGUGAAAACAGCCAGGAGGGGGGCUAUGCUCUGCAAAUCCACAGGGGCGAAGCUG
rnacentral:lncRNA from 10 species